rnacentral:rRNA from 1 species
GACGAACGCUGGCGGCGUGCCUAAUACAUGCAAGUCGAACGCUGAAGGAGGAGCUUGCUUCUCUGGAUGAGUUGCGAACGGGUGAGUAACGCGUAGGUAACCUGCCUGGUAGCGGGGGAUAACUAUUGGAAACGAUAGCUAAUACCGCAUAAUAGUAGAUGUUGCAUGACAUUUGCUUAAAAGGUGCAAUUGCAUCACUACCAGAUGGACCUGCGUUGUAUUAGCUAGUUGGUGGGGUAACGGCCCACCAAGGCGACGAUACAUAGCCGACCUGAGAGGGUGAUCGGCCACACUGGGACUGGGACAGGGCCCAGACUCCUACGGGAGGCAGCAGUAGGGAAUCUUCGGAAAUGGACGGAAGUCUGACCGAGCAACGCCGCGUGAGUGAAGAAGAUUAUCGGAUCGUAAAGCUCUGUUGUAAGAGAAGAACGAGUGUGAGAGUGGAAAGUUCACACUGUGACGGUAUCUUACCAGAAAGGGACGGCUAACUACGUG